UGCGUAGGCGGGUCUUUAAGUCAGGGGUGAAAUCCUGGAGCUCAACUCCAGAACUGCCUUUGAUACUGAAGAUCUUGAGUUCGGGAGAGGUGAGUGGAACUGCGAGUGUAGAGGUGAAAUUCGUAGAUAUUCGCAAGAACACCAGUGGCGAAGGCGGCUCACUGGCCCGAUACUGACGCUGAGGCACGAAAAGCGUGGGGAGCAAACA
rnacentral:rRNA from 1 species